rnacentral:rRNA from 1 species
GUCCACGCCGUAAACGAUGAGAACUAGAUGUCGGGAGGGAUUAGCCUCUCGGUGUCGUAGCUAACGCGCUAAGUUCUCCGCCUUGGGAGUACGGCCUCAAGGUUGAAACUCAAAGGAAUUGACGGGGACCCCGCACAAGCGGUGGAGCAUGUGGUUUAAUUCGAUGCAACGCGAAGAACCUUACCUGGUCUUGACAUCCUCGGAACCCUGCAGCGAUGUGGGGGUGCCUUCGGGAGCCGAGAGACAGGUGCUGCAUGGCUGUCGU